rnacentral:rRNA from 1 species
GCUGGUUCUCCGCGAAAUCUAUUGAGGUAGAGCGUCAGAUGAUUGCCGUUGGGGGUAGAGCACUGGAUGGAUGCGGGGGUCGCGAGACCUACCAACUCUAACCAAACUCCGAAUACCUAGGAGUACUAUCCGGGAGACAGACGGCGGGUGCUAAGGUCCGUCGUCAAAAGGGAAACAGCCCUAACCUACAGCUAAGGUCCCCAAGUCAUCACUAAGUGGGAAAGCAUGUGGGAAUCCCAAAACAACCAG